rnacentral:rRNA from 1 species
GGGGGAAAAUUAAUAAUUUAAAUUUAAUAAAAGAAAUUUUAAUAUUAAAAAGAAAAAUGGGGGUUUGAGUAUUUUUAAUAGAAAAAAUUAAAAGUUUUAUAGUUAAAUAUUACUGUAAAGGAAUUUAUAAAUAAAUGAAAUAUAAUUAAUGAAAAAGUAAAUUUAAAUUAUUGUAUCUUGUGUAUCAGAGUUUAUUAAAUAAUAAUAAUUUAUUUAAAUAAAUCUCGAAUUUAAAAGAGUUAAUUAAUUAAAAAAGUUAAUGUUGUAUAAUUAUUUUAAAUAAUUAAUUAGAAAUGAAAUGUUAAUCGUUUUUAAAUAUAUCUAGUUUUUUCAGAAAAAAAUUUAAUUUUAAAUUUAAAUAAUUUUAUAAUUAUUUAAUUAAUUAUAAAAAUUUAAAUUUUAAUAUUUUAGGGGAUAAGCUUUAAAUUAAAAAUUUAUAAUUAAAAAUAAUUAAAAUUAAAAUUUUUAAAAUUUAUAUUGUUUAAAAAUUAUAGUUUAUUAUAAAAAAUUUUAUUAAAAAUAAAAUUUAAAAUAAAAAAAUUUAAAUUUUUAUGAAAAAAUAAUUUAUAAUUUAAUAAAAUUAGAAAUAAUGAUAAAAUUAGUAUAAUAUAAUAAAUUAAAAAAAAAAUUAUAGAUAAUUAAGUUAAAGGAAUUCGGCAAAAAUUUAUAUUCACUUGUUUAUCAAAAACAUGUCUUUUUGAUAAUAAUUUAAAGUCUAAUCUGCCCACUGAUAUUAUAUUAAAGGGCUGCAGUAUAUUGACUGUACAAAGGUAGCAUAAUCAUUAGUCUUUUAAUUGAAGACUUGUAUGAAAGAUUUGAUGAAAUAUAAACUGUCUCUAAUUUAUGAUUAGAAAUUAAUUUUUUAGUUAAAAAGCUAAAAUAAAAUUAAAAGACGAGAAGACCCUAUAGAGUUUUAUAUUUUAUUUAAUUAAUAUAAAAUAUAUAAUUAAAUAUAUUAAUUAAAUAAAAUAUUGUGUUGGGGUGAUAGAAAAAUUUAAUAAACUUUUUUUAAAAUUAAACAUAAAUAAGUGGUUAAUUGAUCCAUUAAUAAUGAUUAAAAGAAAAAAUUACCUUAGGGAUAACAGCGUAAUAUUUUUUUUUAGUACGUAUAAAAAAAAAAGUUUGCGACCUCGAUGUUGGAUUAAGAUAAAAUUUAAAUGCAAAAGUUUAAAAUUUUGAUCUGUUCGAUCAUUAAAAUCUUACAUGAUCUGAGUUCAAACCGGUGUAAGCCAGGUUGGUUUCUAUCUUUAAUAAAAAAAAAUAUUUUAGUACGAAAGGAUCAAAUAUUUAAAAUAAUUUUAUAACAAUGAAUAUUAAUAAUAUAGUUUA